AUUGAACGCUGGCGGCAUGCCUUACACAUGCAAGUCGAACGGCAGCACGGGGCAACCUGGUGGCGAGUGGCGAACGGGUGAGUAAUGCAUCGGAACGUACCUUUCAGUGGGGGAUAACGUAGCGAAAGUUACGCUAAUACCGCAUAUUCUGUGAGCAGGAAAGCAGGGGAUCGCAAGACCUUGCGCUGAUUGAGCGGCCGAUGUCAGAUUAGCUAGUUGGUGAGGUAAAGGCUCACCAAGGCGACGAUCUGUAGCGGGUCUGAGAGGAUGAUCCGGCACACUGGAACUGAGACACGGUCCAGACUCCUACGGGAGGCAGCAGUGGGGAAUUUUGGACAAUGGGGCAACCCUGAUCCAGCCAUGCCGCGUGAGUGAAGAAGGCCUUCGGGUUGUAAAGCUCUUUCGGCCGGGAAGAAAUCGCACGGGCUAAUACCCUGUGUGGAUGACGGUACCGGAAUAAGAAGCACCGGCUAACUACGUGCCAGCCGCCGCAGUAAUAC
rnacentral:rRNA from 1 species